rnacentral:rRNA from 1 species
CAGCAGCCAGGUAAUACGAAGGGUGCAAGCGUUACUCGGAAUUACUGGGCGUAAAGCGUGCGUAGGUGGUGGUUUAAGUCCGUUGUGAAAGCCCUGGGCUCAACCUGGGAAUUGCAGUGGAUACUGGGUCACUAGAGUGUGGUAGAGGAUAGUGGAAUUUCCGGUGUAGCAGUGAAAUGCGUAGAGAUCGGAAGGAACAUCUGUGGCGAAGGCGACUAUCUGGGCCAACACUGACACUGAGGCACGAAAGCGUGGGGAGCAAACAGGAUUAGAUACCCCUGUAGUCCCUGUCUCUUAUACA